UAUCUAUGAUGAUAUCCUUAAGGCUUGUUUCUCAUGAACAUUCGCAGUGGCCGCCUGAUUGAGCUUUCGCCUUCGCCAGGCUUGAGAGCUCAUGCUGCUCUUUCCUUCCUUGGAUGUCUGAGAUCCCAUUUUUAUUUUAUUCAUUUUCUGUUUUGUUUAUUAUUAAUUGGGGAUCGUCUUCCCCUUUUGCAAAUUCUGUAUUGCUUUAGGGAUGGAAUGAAUGAUAUCCCCUGAGAUUUAAUUCACCCUAUCACUUUGUCACCAAAUUCGUUGGUAUUUUUUUUACUAAUUUACAAUUUGCUGAUCAUUAAGGGGUGGAAUAUAUGGCUAUUAAAAGGAACUGGUGAUGAUAUCUUAAAGGCUUGUUUCUCAGAAACAUUCGCAGUGGCCGCCUAAGAACUUUCGCCUUCGCCAGGCUUGAGAGUUUGUGCUGUUUUGCUCCUUCCUUGGAUGUCUGAAGUU
rnacentral:lncRNA from 1 species